rnacentral:rRNA from 1 species
UACGUAGGGGGCAAGCGUUGUCCGGAUUUACUGGGCGUAAGAGCGCGCAGGCGGUCGUUCAAGUCGAGUGUGAAAGCCCCCGGCUCAACUGGGGAGGGUCACUCGAUACUGAUCGACUCGAAGGCAGGAGAGGGAAGUGGAAUUCCCGGUGUAGUGGUGAAAUGCGUAGAUAUCGGGAGGAACACCAGUGGCGAAGGCGACUUCCUGGCCUGUUCUUGACGCUGAGGCGCGAAAGCUAGGGGAGCAAACGGG